rnacentral:lncRNA from 1 species
UGGGGGAAAUGUAGCAUGCCUAUCUUUAUUUCACCCAGAUGGGUAAUCAGUGUUAAAUAACUUUGCAAUGGAUGGUAUAAACUCUACUUAUUUGUGGCAUAGUGGAUGUGGUGUGUACUUGAUGAUAGGUUGCUAUAUAAUACUUGUGUUGCAUCUUCCCAUUGUCCUUCAAAGCAUGCUUUUCUGUAAGGCAUGCAGCAGGCAGUGUGCCCAAUAUCUAAAUAAGCAGCUUGUGUGAGUAGCUUGGGGAAAGAUCCAAUGCCAAACUGGGACUCUAUCUAAUAGUUAAGUUGUAGAAACAUAUAAGCUAAGCUAAUCUGGGGGGAGGGAGGGUGCUAAAAUAUAAAGGUGUGGGCAAUGAUAAAUAAUCACUUCCUUGAAUCUGGCAAAGAGGAUUUCAAG